rnacentral:lncRNA from 1 species
CUCACGGAUCUGACCACAGAGGGGCGGGGGAGGGCUGAGGUGGCUUCUCCAUUCAGCACUUGCUCUUGUAUCCGCCAUCCGCACCCCGACUCUGAGACUACAGAAUGCUCUCAGCUCCAUUAGACCCCUCCUCCCCUAUUUUAUAGACUGGGACACGGAAGUUCAGAAAGAGAAAGUGGCAUGCUGAGGGGCACGUAGCAGACACCAGUGGCUGAGGGGAAUCCACAAUGCUGCCAGGCGCUGCCCGCACCGGCUGGCAGGGCUCAGAUGGAGGAUGAUCUGGACUCAAACUACGGCUGCCUUCCAGCUUCGUGACCUUGGACAAAUCCCUUCCCCUCGCUGAGCCUCAUAAUGGCCAUUCUGUAAAACGAGGACCCUGAGCGGCACUUCAGGUUGUGGCAAGGGUUCAGAGAGAAUCUGUAUGCUGACAACUCUGAAAUCUCCAUCUCCAGCCCAGAUGUCUCCAGAUCUCCAGCUGCCCUUGGAGAUCACCCAGACAUACAUCCUACAGAGACCUACAAGACACAGAAAAACAGGCCCAGGUGGACACAGAUUAGAGGGGACAGAGUUGGAAGCAAUAAACCAG